rnacentral:rRNA from 1 species
ACUUUACGGAAGGAGUGUGUUUAUUAGAUCUGAAGCCAACCCGCCUCGGCGGUUACUGGUGAGUCAUAAUAACCUUACGAAUCGCAUGACCUAGCGUCGGCGAUGAAUCAUUCUAACAUCUGACCUAUCAAAUUUUGAUGGUAGGAUAGAGGCCUACCAUGUUGAUGACGGGUAACGGAGAAUUAGGGUUCGAUUCCGGAGAGGGAGCCUGAGAAACGGGUUCCACAUUCAAGGAAGGCAGGAAGCGCGCAAAUUACCCAAUCUCGAUUCGAGGAGGGAGUGACAAGAAAUAACAAAGCAGGGCUUUAAGAGACUUGUAAUUGGAAUGAGAACAAUUCAAAAAUCUUUACGAGGGACAAAUUGGGAGGGCAAGUCUUGGUGCCAGCAACCCGGGAAUUCAGGGUUCAAAAGCGGGUAUUAAAAGCUGCUGCGGUUGAAACGCUCGUAGUUGGACCUUGGGGCGUGUAGCAGGGUCGGCCUUGGGGCUGUAUCCUGUGGCGGGUCCUAUUGCUGUGAUCAGCCGUUUCGGCGGCGGUUGUAGCCGGUUACUUUGAAAAAAUUAGAGUGUUCAAAGCAGGCCUUACGCCUUGAAUACAUUAGCAUGGAAUAACAGAAUAGGACUUUGGUCUUGUUGUGUUGGUUUCCGGGACUAGAGUAAUGAUUAAUAGGGACAGUUGGGGGCAUUCUUAUUUGGCUGUCAGAGGUGAAAUUCUUGGAUUAGCCAAAGAAGAACUACUGCGAAAGCAUUUGCCAAGGAUGUUUUCAUUAAUCAAGAACGAAAGUUAGGGGAUCGAAGACGAUCAGAUACCGUCGUAGUCUUAACCAUAAACUAUGCCGACUAGGGAUCGGUGGAAGCGAUAUUAGGCUCCAUCGGCACCUUCCGAGAAAUCAAAGUCUUUGGGUUCCGGGGGGAGUAUGGUCGCAAGGCUGAAACUUAAAGGAAUUGACGGAAGGGCACCACCAGGAGUGGAGCCUGCGGCUUAAUUUGACUCAACACGGGAAAACUUACCAGGUCCAGACAUAGUAAGGAUUGACAGAUUGAGGGCUUCUUUCUUGAUUCUAUGGGUGGUGGUGCAUGGCCGUUCUUAGUUGGUGGAGUGAUUUGUCUGCUUAAUUGCGAUAACGAACGAGACCUUAACCUGCUAAAUAGUGAGGCGGAGCCUAGCUCCGUAACUAACUUCUUAGAGGGACUAUMCRAGACAAUCGNNNUGGAAGUUUGAGGCAAUAACANGUCUGUGAUGCCCUUAGAUGUUCUKGGCCGCACGCGCGCUACACUUGACNGAUUYAACGAGUCCUACCUNCAGGCCGACAGGCCCGGGUAAUCUUGUCAAAGUCCGUCGUGCUGGGGAUUGACUCUUGCAACUUUUAGUCAUGAACGAGAAAUUAAUAGUAGGUGCAAGUCAACAACUUGCGCCGAUUACGUCCCUGCCCUUUGUACACACCGCCC